rnacentral:tRNA from 1 species
GCCAGCGUUUCCGAGCAGUAAGGAGGCAGCCUGCAGAGCUGUUUAUCGUGGGUGCAAUUCCCACCGCUGGCU